CGUGUAGGUGGGCCUUUAAGUCGGUGGUGAAAUCUCGCAGCUUAACUGCGAAACUGCCGUCGAUACUGGAGGUCUUGAGUGCGGAAGAGGGAAGUGGAAUUCAUGGUGUAGCAGUGAAAUGUGUAGAUAUCAUGAAGAACACCGGUAGCGAAGGCGGCUUCCUGGUCCGCAACUGACACUGAGGCGCGAAAGCGUGGGUAGCAAACA
rnacentral:rRNA from 1 species